rnacentral:rRNA from 1 species
ACCUCAGUAACGGCGAGUGAAGCGGUAACAGCUCAAAUUUGAAAUCUGGGUCUUUCAGGCUCCGAGUUGUAAUUUGUAGAAGAUGCUUUGGGUGCGGCCCCGGUCUAAGUUCCUUGGAACAGGACGUCAUAGAGGGUGAGAAUCCCGUAUGUGAUCGGUGGCUUGCGCCCGUGUAAAGCUCUUUCGACGAGUCGGGUUGUUUGGGAAUGCAGCUCUAAAUGGGUGGUAAAUUUCAUCUAAAGCUAAAUAUUGGCCAGAGACCGAUAGCGCACAAGUAGAGUGAUCGAAAGAUGAAAAGGACUUUGGAAAGAGAGUUAAACAGUACGUGAAAUUGUUGAAAGGGAAGCGCUUGCAACCAGACUUGCGCGGGGUUGAUCAUCCGGGGUUCUCCCCGGUGCACUCGGCCUCGCUCAGGCCAGCAUCGGUUUCGGUGGUUGGAUAAAGGCCUUGGGAAUGUGACUUCUUUCGGGGAGUGUUAUAGCCCUCGGUGCAAUGCAGCCUACCGGGACCGAGGACCGCGCUUCGGCUAGGAUGCUGGCGUAAUGGUUGUAAGCGACCCGUCUUGAAACACGGACCAAGGAGUCUAACAUCUAUGCGAGUGUUUGGGUGUCAAACCCAUACGCGUAAUGAAAGUGAACGGAGGUGAGAACCCUUAAGGGUGCAUCAUCGACCGAUCCUGAUGUCUUCGGAUGGAUUUGAGUAAGAGCAUAGCUGUUGGGACCCGAAAGAUGGUGAACUAUGCCUGAAUAGGGUGAAGCCAGAGGAAACUCUGGUGGAGGCUCGCAGCGGUUCUGACGUGCAAAUCGAUCGUCAAAUUUGGGCAUAG